rnacentral:lncRNA from 1 species
GGUAGCUUGGGCCCAAGUUUCUCUCCCUUGGUUGACAUAUGAGUGAGGCUAAAUCCAAUAAGCUCUAAGAGCUGGGCCAAGACUGGCUGAAUGGGCCAGGCCACCCAUCCUUGGCCGGACAGAACCCAGCUAAAGGGCCCCAUUCACCUCGGCCUGGGUGAUGUUCCAGAAUUAAGCGAUCAUUCCUUACCAACCUAGGUGGCCUGGAGUCAGGGUGCUCCUGGAAUGCUGGGAACCUCUGUAGCUGAGCCCAGGCCAUUCAGAAUGGCCCUGUACAAGUCAGUCACUGUUUGUAACGUGGACACUAUGCCCUCCUGGGGCUCCAGGCAUCUCCAGGAUUCUCUAGUCUCUUGACGUCCCAGGGAGAGAGAGAUUCUUACCCACUACUUUAAUGAGGGACGUCAAGUGGCAGCUUAGUUGUUCUUGACUGAACCUUUGGCUGUUGCUGUAGCCUUCAUGGCCUGCAGCCUGGAGCCCAGACAUGCCCUCUGUAGGUAGACACAGACCCUGUUUAGGUUUGGCAGCUCUGGAGCCAAACAGGACAGGGAAAGGGGAGCCUCAACUCUGGGCCCCAGACUGGCUCCCCAGAGACCCUAUAUUGGAUUCUUCUGGGCCAUCCUACCUGACCGACCCAAUACCAGCCUCCCCGCCUGUCCAUGGCUAUACCCGGCACAUGCUCUGCAGCCUGGCCCGUCUGUUGCUGCCUCAGUCCCAGGCAUCCCUGUUGCCAGCUCUGCGUGCUUCCUGCUGUGCCCAGAGUCCCCAGGUCAGGGGGUGGGGGAUUCAGGUCUGCAUGUGCCUCCGUGUCCCAGGGAUCAUGGGAAUCUGAAAAUGUGGCCCCCUCAGUCUGCCUGUACCUAGCAGUCAGGUGAGUUCCCAGGCUGACCUGGCUUCUGUUCCCCAU